rnacentral:rRNA from 1 species
AUUGAACGCUGGCGGCAUGCCUAACACAUGCAAGUCGAACGGCAGCAUGGUAAGGCUUUGUUGAUACAUGUCGCGUGUGGCGGGCGGGUGAGGUAUACAUCAGCGUGCACUUUUUUGUGGGGGAUAACGUAGGAAAACUUACUCUUACACCACAUACCACCUGCGUGUGAGAGCAGGACCUCUUGGCCCCUUGCUCUAUUGACUGCCCCGAUGUCUGAUUAGCUAGUUGGCGGGGUAAAGGCUCACCAAGGCGACGAUCAGUAGCUGGUCUGAGAGGAUGAUCAGCCACACUGGAACUGAGACACGGCCCAGACUCCUACGGGAGGCAGCAGUGGGGAAUUUUGGACAAUGGGCGAAAGCCUGAUCCAGCAAUGCCGCGUGUGUGAAGAAGGCCUUCGGGUUGUAAAGCCCUUUUGUUCGGAAAGAAAUGCAGCUGGUUAAUACCUCGCGGUGAUGACGGUACCGAAAGAAUAAGCACCGGCUAACUACGUG